rnacentral:rRNA from 1 species
UUGCUUCUUUGCUGACGAGUGGCGGACGGGUGAGUAAUGUCUGGGAAACUGCCUGAUGGAGGGGGAUAACUACUGGAAACGGUAGCUAAUACCGCAUAACGUCGCAAGACCAAAGAGGGGGACCUUCGGGCCUCUUGCCAUCGGAUGUGCCCAGAUGGGAUUAGCUUGUUGGUGGGGUAACGGCUCACCAAGGCGACAAUCCCUAGCUGGUCUGAGAGGAUGACCAGCCACACUGGAACUGAAACACGGUCCAAACUCCUACGGGAGGCAGCAGUGGGGAAUAUUGCACAAUGGGCGCAAGCCUGAUGCACCCAUGCCGCGUGUAUGAAGAAGGCCUUCGGGUUGUAAAGUACUUUCAGCGGGGAGGAAGGGAGUAAAUUAAUACCUUUGCUCAUUGACGUUCCCCGCAAAAAAAGCACCGGCUAACUCCGUGCCAGCAGCCGCGGUAAUACGGAGGGUGCAAGCGUUAAUCGGAAUUACUGGGCGU